AAAAUGUUGGCAUUGUGGCAUAUGUUUGUUUCUUAGCAAACUUUUGUGAUCGGUGAUCACUGCAGUUAUAGCGGUUUCAAGAAGAUCUUCUAAGGAUUAAAGGAGAGAGAGGGAAAGAGUCUCUGGAGUCCAGCAACACUGAUUAUGUGUGCAUGUGCACUUGGAGAGAGCACAGCCUGAAUAGGGGAGGAAGUACUGGAGCUUCCAGCGCACUGACAUUUUAGCAUUAGUGCUGCUGUCAAAGUGUGACGAAAUCAAGCCGUCUGCCCCUCUCCCCUCCACGCACUGUCUGG